AGUGAACGCUGGCGGUAGGCCUAACACAUGCAAGUCGAACGGCAGCACAGUAAGAGCUUGCUCUUACGGGUGGCGAGUGGCGGACGGGUGAGGAAUACAUCGGAAUCUACUUUUUCGUGGGGGAUAACGUAGGGAAACUUACGCUAAUACCGCAUACGACCUACGGGUGAAAGCAGGGGAUCUUCGGACCUUGCGCGAUUGAAUGAGCCGAUGUCGGAUUAGCUAGUUGGCGGGGUAAAGGCCCACCAAGGCGACGAUCCGUAGCUGGUCUGAGAGGAUGAUCAGCAACACUGGAACUGAGACACGGUCCAGACUCCUACGGGAGGCAGCAGUGGGGAAUAUUGGACAAUGGGCGCAAGCCUGAUCCAGCCAUACCGCGUGGGUGAAGAAGGCCUUCGGGUUGUAAAGCCCUUUUGUUGGGAAAGAAAAGCAGCAGGUUAAUACCCCGCUGUUCUGACGGUACCCGAAGAAUAAGCACCGGCUAACUUCGUG
rnacentral:rRNA from 1 species